GGAGGAAUCUUAAAGCCGCAGCGCCUCCUUUCCCGUCGCCGCCCGUUCCCCAGGGGAAGGCGUCCUAUAGAGGAAGGUUCAGAGCGGGAGUCAGGACUUGGGGUCUGACUCGCACCCUCGUUCGUGUUUAUCGGAUGCGUAUCGGGCCUGCGAGGCCAAGCGCGGGCCAGACGCCGGGGAGGGGAACGGGCAGUGAUUAAAACAUGAACAAGAUCCUGCCAAGAAGAGUUCACAGUCUAGCGCGCAAGGCAGACCAGGCUGGCGAGGUGAGCAGGAGCCGCGCUCUCCAGGACGAGGGGCUGUGGCUGCAGGGCUGAAGGGCUGUCACAGACUACUGCGGCAGCACCUGCCGCUCCAAGGCGUGGCCAGUCGCUGCUUUCGGGGGCUGCGAUUGAUUCUGCUCUGUCGCCCUUUCCCCCCAGCAGCCUGUGAGGUGGGCCUUCUCCCUAUCACGGCUAUCCAUCCCAUUUUAGAGAUGAAGAAUGAGAGGCCCGGAGAGAUGAAAAGUCUCAGCCAAAAAUCUCAUUUUACUUUUUUGCAGAACCCAGGACUAGGUCACAGGACCUGGGCUGCUGGCCAGCUUCCACUGUGCUUACCUGAGAGGAUUAGACCCGAGAGGGGACUUCCCGAUAGGAAUGAAGUGAGACUGGAGAAAGGGCAGCUGAAGGAAGAGGCGGCCACCGUGUCCUUCUGUGCACCAGCCUGACCCUGUCUGUCCCUGUCCCCAAACGCAGGCCUGGAUGUGGGCAGAGGGCAUAGAGAGGUGAAUGGUUAAAGAAGCUGUGGUGUAUCUAUACUGGAGAUAAAUGAAAGCAGUGAACCGUUGAUACCCACGAAAACUUGGAUGAUCUCCUGGGAAUUGUGCUGUGUGAAAAGACCCAAUCCUAAAAGUGAGGAUGGGGAGCUGAUGGCCUGGUUCCUCCUGACUUCUCCAUGAAUGGUUCCAGGGACUUCUAUUUUCCCAGCUCCUCGGAGGACAUGAUGAGGGUGCUUCAGCCCCUUUGGCCUCUGUCCAAGUGCUGAGGACCACACUCCGGGCCUUGGCCAUGCCGCUUCUAAGACUCGAGGGUCCGAGAUGUGAGACGUCAGCCGGUGGCCGAUAAGAUCCUGCUUGCCCUCCUCAUCUGACUUUCCUCCCUCCACACCUACAUGCUUCUCCUUUUCCUAUUUCCAGGAACUUUCCAAAUGCAGGAACACAGAGCAACUGCAGGACAGGAUUCCACCAAAUUCCCCUCUCUGGCUCUUGGUUUCCACAUCUGUAAAGUAAAGGGUCGGGCAAGAUGAACGCCACGUUGGCUUCCUUGCAGCAGUGAGGUUCCAUGGUCCAGACCCCAAGGCACCACACUCAUUUGUACAUAACCUCCAGGACACUUUCUUCACGUCAGGACAGAGGAACCACUCUGCUCUCAACUCUGCCCUCCAGUCACCUCACCAGUCUUUGGGUCCAUGGCCCCUCGCGCUUGUCCCUCUUUCUUCAGGAACCUCAGACCUCCGUUCCCAACUUCCUUUCACAAGUUUACCACAUUCCUUGGGCUAAGCCGACUGGACAAAACACCAAGAAACCACCUUACCUACUACCCUGGCUGUGAUUUCGGGCUCCAGGCCCAAGUCAACUGCUUUGGGAGGUCCUGGCCACUGGAGGAAAUGCUGGCACCUCUCCCCAGCACCUCCCCUGCUCCUCCACCUCACUGUUCUCCAUGCCAGCACGAAAAGUGGCCAGUGAUUGAUGGGCCUGGGUUCCCGGUAACCGCACCCAGUGGCCCAAUCCUCCUCCCUUCCUCAAUCCCUCCCCUGCCCCUAUUCAGAGCUCAGAUUGUCUCAUGUUGGUCCCUGAGGUCCCAUUAAUUAAAAAUACAUCCAAUUAAAUGGCAGGUGAAAACGUGCUGCUGGAGCUCCACCCCCCACCCCAGCUUGGUCUCUCCGCUCCCCCUGCCCAAGGCUCAGCUGUGCUUUGGCUGAGAAAAGAGAGGGGGGAGAGAAGGGAAGAGAGUAGAGGAAGACAUAGGGGUAGGAGGAUGGCAGGGGGCUACUUGAACCUCUGCCAGGGUAGCAUGUGCCAGCCUGGGAGGGUGGCACUGUGCCCUGGGGUCUAAUUUCUGGAGGUGUGAGUAGUUCAGUCAGCUGGGUACCCACCUCCAUUUCCCUUAAAGAGGCAGAGGGCAGCCAGGGGGUGGCUAACUGUGCUGCCUACUUCUGCGUUUGGUGGCACGAGCGUAAAUGGUAGCAGGGCCUUCGGAGGGGUGUGCUGUUCAGAGGUCAGGGGCAUCUCAGACCUCCAUCCUGGCCAUAUCUCUGCUCUUCCCCAAACUGCGAAGAAGAUAAUGAGGAGCCAAUGGGGACCCAGGUGGCAGGACACGGCAACGCUCCUGAGCCUGGCUGGGGCUGCUCUUGCCUACAGGAAACCAAGAGACAGAUGCAGGGAGUGAGAAAGAAAGGAGCCAUGACUUGGGCAAGGGCAGACGGGUCAGAUAGAGUAGAAUAUUACAGAAAUGGGUAUUCACGUGGGCACCAUGCCCCCGAGCACUGUAUAGGCAAGAGGGCUUGGAGGCCCUCGUCCUGUUUGCCCUUGGUCUCUGCGGAAACAGCAGUCCCCUCGGCCUGGCUGCCUGGAAAGCUAUGGGCAGGGCAUCUCUAAUGAGUGGAGACCACUCCUCUCUUCCUCUUCCUCCUCCUUCUCCCCCUCCUCCUCCUCCUCCUCCAGCCUCACAGGUAGAGCACCUCCCCGGCCCCACCCCAGAGGAGCCCUAUGUCCCAAGCACAGCAAUUCGAGGCUAACGGGCCCUGGG
rnacentral:lncRNA from 1 species